rnacentral:rRNA from 1 species
UACGUAGGGUGCGAGCGUUGUCCGGAAUUAUUGGGCGUAAAGGGCUCGUAGGCGGUCUGUCACGUCAGGAGUGAAAACUCGGGGCUCAACCCCGAGCCUGCUUCUGAUACGGGCAGACUGGAGGUAUGCAGGGGAGAACGGAAUUCCUGGUGUAGCGGUGGAAUGCGCAGAUAUCAGGAGGAACACCGAUGGCGAAGGCAGAUCUCUGGGCCUGUACUGACGCUGAGGAGCGAAAGCGUGGGGAGCGAACAGG